CAAACUUCUUUUGUGUGCAUCUCAGUUAGUGAUUUCCAGUAAAUAAGUGGACACAGCGAGAAGAUACUGGACCGAAUCUCCUCCGGCUGUAUUUACACGCCUGCCGCACGUGCACGUGUACUUCUCUCCCCUUACUGAAGAUGAGGUAACUGCGCUCGUAUGAAGAGCCGUCCCUGCUGCCCCUGCUGUCUCCUGGGCUCUGCGUCCUUUCAGGAACUCAGUUCUCUUCUGUCACUCCUGCAAGGCCGGCAAUACAGGAUGUACUGGAUCGCGCUCCUCAGCAUCGCGUACCUGCUCUCAAUCAGACUCAGAUGCUGUGAGAAUCGUAUCAUAUAGCUGCAGGUAAAACAGAUGAAAAUCCCCCUCCUAGAGCUUGGUUUCACAGGAAGGACAGAGGACGAGCCUGCCAGCACAGAUGGGUAUGAACAGAGCUCCUUCCGGUCUCACCGCGCUCCUGUGGGUGAGAAGUUAUAAAGUUCUCUUGCUGACGUUUUGAUUAGUGUCCCCACAGGGUCCCCCGAAGGUUCCCAAGUGGGUGCUGCUGGGGCAGCUGUGCCCACACAAGCCAAGAGAUUAAGGCGCUGUUUAAGAGGUUGUGCCUUGAUAGGUUUUGCCUAUGGGAGCCCCAAGUCACUGAACUUGUGGCCUCCAAGGGGAUUGUAGGACCUUGGUCUUACUCUUUCUUUGCUUCCCAGCUCCAGAUGUGACCACCCGCUGUGACCACAUUCUCCCCCACGACGGCCACUGUCGUGGGCAUCCCAAACCAUGGACUCCGGAAGGUAGACUUUGAAUUCCAGAGCACUGAACCAAAAUAAACCUCUCUUUGUCUCCUAAGUCGCUCAUGUCGGGUACUCACUGUGGUAGUGUGAUACUGACUGAUACACUGUUCUAUGUAUAAAUCAGGUGAGGAGUAAGAACGAGAACGACAAAGGGUAAAGCGAGAGAGAGUGCGGGGGAGUGACGGCUAUUACUAUUAAUACAUUAUGUAAGGGAGUGCCUUCUAAUGGGAACCGAGGGAGGAAGCACUAUCAGUAAUGCAGGGAGGAGUGCAUGCUCUGAGGCUAGGGUGUGUCUGAAUCAUUCAAGAUUCGCGAGGCCAUCAAGUGUUGUGCAGAG
rnacentral:lncRNA from 1 species